UGCGGCCGCGACUCCGGUUGAUCCUGCCGGACCCGACCGCUAUCGGGGUGAGGCUAAGCCAUGGGAGUCGCACGCCCCGAUUACCGGGGCGUGGCGGACGGCUGAGUAAUACGUGGCUAACCUACCCUCGGGACGGGGACAGUCCCGGGAAACUGGGGCUAAUCCCCGAUAGGUGGGGACUCCUGGAAGGGGCCCCACCUAAAGGGUUCUGCGGGGAUGUCCGCAGAGCCGCCCGAGGAUGGGGCCACGGCCCAUCAGGUAGUUGGCGGGGUAACGGCCCGCCAAGCCUAUAACGGGUAGGGGCCGUGAGAGCGGGAGCCCCCAGAU
rnacentral:rRNA from 1 species